rnacentral:rRNA from 1 species
UACGGAGGGGGCUAGCGUUGUUCGGAAUUACUGGGCGGAAAGCGCACGUAGGCGGCUUUGCAAGUUAGAGGUGAAAGCCCGGGGCUCAACUCCGGAAUUGCCUUUAAAACUGCAUCGCUAGAAUUGUGGAGAGGUAAGUGGAAUUCCGAGUGUAGAGGUGAAAUGCGUAGAUAUCGUAAGGAAGACCGGUGGCGAAGGCGGGUCUCUGGACAGUUCCUGACGCUGAGGCACGAAGGUCAGGGGAGCAAACGGG